GAUGAACGCUGGCGGCGUGCCUAAUACAUGCAAGUCGAGCGAACGGACGAGAAGCUUGCUUUUCUGAUGUUAGCGGCGGACGGGUGAGUAACACGUGGAUAACCUACCUAUAAGACUGAGAUAACUUCGGGAAACCGGAGCUAAUACCGGAUAAUAUUUUGAACCGCAUGGUUCAAAAGUGAAAGACGGUCUUGCUGUCACUUAUAGAUGGAUCCGCGCUGCAUUAGCUAGUUGGUAAGGUAACGGCUUACCAAGGCAACGAUGCAUAGCCGACCUGAGAGGGUGAUCGGCCACGCUGGAACUGAGACACGGUCCAGACUCCUACGGGAGGCAGCAGUAGGGAAUCUUCCGCAAUGGGCGAAAGCCUGACGGAGCAACGCCGCGUGAGUGAUGAAGGUCUUCGGAUCGUAAAACUCUGUUAUUAGGGAAGAACAUAUGUGUAAGUAACUGUGCACAUCUUGACGGUACCUAAUCAGAAAGCCACGGCUAACUACGUG
rnacentral:rRNA from 1 species